GUCAGUAUGGUGUAGUGGUUUAAACGUUGAACUACAACUCUGGAGACCAGGGUUCAAAUCCCAGCUCAGCCA